rnacentral:rRNA from 1 species
AUUGAACGCUGGCGGCAUGCUUUACACAUGCAAGUCGAACGGCAGCGCGGGCUUCGGCCUGGCGGCGAGUGGCGAACGGGUGAGUAAUGCAUCGGAACGUGCCCAGUAUUGGGGGCUAGCCCGGCGAAAGCCGGAUUAAUCCCGCAUACGACCUGAGGGUGAAAGCGGGGGACCGAAAGGCCUCGCGCUAUUUGAGCGGCCGAUGUCGGAUUAGCUAGUUGGUGGGGUAAAGGCUUACCAAGGCGACGAUCCGUAGCUGGUCUGAGAGGACGACCAGCCACACUGGAACUGAGACACGGCCCAGACUCCUACGGGAGGCAGCAGUGGGGAAUUUUGGACAAUGGGGGCAAGCCUGAUCCAGCCAUGCCGCGUGCGGGAAGAAGGCCUUCGGGUUGUAAACCGCUUUUGUUCGGGAAGAAAUCCUCUGGGCUAAUACCCCGGGGGGAUGACGGUACCGGAAGAAUAAGCACCGGCUAACUACGUG